UAAAAAGGCAAACCCUGGUUUUCGUGUCUAACGUUUGACCGUCCGUCUUGUUUUAAAAAAAUAUAAAAAAAAUUAAAAAGACAAGUCACGCACAAAGUAUUAAUCAUGUUUUAUCAUCUAACAAUAAUAAAAAUACGAAUUAUAAAAAAAUUUCAUAUAAGACAGACAGUUAAAGUUGGACACGGAAAGACAUGAUUUGUCUUUUU
rnacentral:pre_miRNA from 1 species